CCUACGGGAGGCAGCAGUGGGGAAUAUUGCGCAAUGGGCGAAAGCCUGACGCAGCGACGCCGCGUGAGGGAUGAAGGUCUUCGGAUCGUAAACCUCUGUCAGCAGGGAAGAACGGUCACUGUGCUAAUCAGCAGUGAAUUGACGGUACCUGCAAAGGAAGCACCGGCUAACUCCGUGCCAGCAGCCGCGGUAAUACGGAGGGUGCGAGCGUUAAUCGGAAUUACUGGGCGUAAAGCGCUCGUAGGCGGUAUGUCAAGUCAAGGGUGAAAUCCCCGCGCUCAACGUGGGAACUGCCUUUGAAACUGGCAGACUGGAGAGUGUGAGAGGAUAGUGGAAUGCCAGGUGUAGGAGUGAAAUCCGUAGAUAUCUGGAGGAACAUCAGUGGCGAAGGCGACUAUCUGGCACAUAACUGACGCUGAGGAGCGAAAGCGUGGGUAGCAAACAGGAUUAGAUACCCGAGUAGUC
rnacentral:rRNA from 1 species